rnacentral:rRNA from 1 species
GACGAACCGUGCGAACGUUGUUCGGAAUCACUGGGCUUAAAGGGCGCGUAGGCGGCUUGCCAAGUCGGGGGUGAAAUCCGGCAGCUUAACUGUCGAAGUGCCUUCGAUACUGGCGAGCUCGAGGGAGGUAGGGGUCUGUGGAACUGCUGGUGGAGCGGUGAAAUGCGUUGAUAUCAUCUGGAAUACCGGAGGCGAAGGCGGCUCACUGGGGCUUUUCUGACGCUGAGGAACGAAAGCCAGGGUAGCGAACGGG